UGGAAGUAAAAAACUAAAAUUAGUAGGAAAAAACCCCAUAAAAAUCAGAGAAAGUGAUUAUUUCAAGUGCAAUAGCUAAAACAGCCGAAGUUUUCAGUGAGACAGCUAAAGGUAGCAGACUYAAGUUGAAAGUAGCACCCAGAUGGUGAAAUGGAAGUAAAAAAGCCGAAGUUUUCAGUGAGACAGCUAAAGGUAGCAAACUCUAGUUGAAAGUAGCACCCAGAUGGUGAAAUGGAAGU